AGCCAAGGUAGCUCAGGUGGUAGAGCGGGUGCCUUGUAAGCACCAGGUCGUGGGUUCGAAUCCCACCCUUGGCUCCC
rnacentral:tRNA from 1 species